GGUCGAAAUUGGUGCUGGCUAUGCUAAAAUAUAAACUCCCAUUUGAUGCUUCAAUGACAUCAUCCAUGAAUCUAUAUGUAGCAAUAAUAGUAAAUACAUUAAUUUUGUAUGGUUUUGUGAAAAACUCGCUCGUUAUGCUUAUGUCAACUUGUGUGCUUUGAGAUAAACAUGCUGCCCUUAGGUAGACAUGUUCAUGACAAAAGGAGUCUCAUGGGCUCAAGUCCACCGUGAGCCUCCAACCUUAGCUUAUUUCUGGCCAAACUUGAUGGUAUCCGGUACCAUGAAUGUAAGAUCUACCAAGGUUUUCUAUACCUAUCAUUACUAGGGCAAAUAAUUUUUUUUACCUGAGGUGCGAUUUGUGUUUGGUCGAUCAAGUCUAAUUGCUAGUUUUUCAUGAUUCCGCACCAUCUACAUAUUAUGCAGGAUUUAUAGAUAUAGCAACAUCACAUAUACGUAAUAUUCUGGGAAUUAGUCUACUAAAGAAUCUGACAAACUCUAAUUUAGGAUAUAAUUUACUUAUGAGCUACUAAACUUUCUUGGUAUCUUCAACAUUAUUGUUGUAG
rnacentral:lncRNA from 1 species